GUCAGUAACUCAGCCCUAAAGGGACUGAGCUUGUAAGAAAUUGCAAGCUGUACUGACCAGUCUAAGUCUUAACUGACUACGUUUUUUGAGUCACGACACCCUGGAAUGCGUAGCUAGUUCCCUGCUCUGUCGCUUGUGAUUAAACAGUUUCAAAGUCACUGAAACAGUGUUGCAAGCCUAACAAGCUCUUAAAACAUUGACGUUCGCGCAAGCGUGCCGGAGGCAUUCAGCUAACAUUACCCCAGAAAUGGG
rnacentral:sRNA from 1 species